rnacentral:piRNA from 1 species
UAUUCAAGAGUCGUUUAAUAA